rnacentral:rRNA from 1 species
UCCGGUUGAUCCUGCCAGAGGUUACUGCUAUCGAGGUUCGACUAAGCCAUGCGAGUCGAAUGUAGCAAUACAUGGCGUACUGCUCAGUAACACGUGGAUAACCUACCCUUAGGACGGGGAUAAACCCGGGAAACUGGGUAUAAUACCCGAUAGAUCUCGAUUGCUGGAAUGCAUCGAGAUCUAAAGCUCCGGCGCCUAAGGAUGGAUCUGCGGCCUAUCAGGUAGUAGUGGGUGUAGCGUACCUACUAGCCUACGACGGGUACGGGUUGUGAGAGCAAGAGCCCGGAGAUGGAUUCUGAGACACGAAUCCAGGCCCUACGGGGUGCAGCAGGCGCGAAAACUUUACAAUGCCGGCAACGGCGAUAAGGGGACCUCGAGUGCCAGGUUACAAAUCUGGCUGUCGUAAUGCCUAAAAAGCAUUGCAUAGCAAGGGCCGGGCAAGACCGGUGCCAGCCGCCGCGGUAACACCGGCGGCUCGAGUGGUAACCGUUAUUAUUGGGUCUAAAGGGUCUGUAGCCGGCCGGAUAAGUCUCUUGGGAAAUCUGGCAGCUUAACUGUCAGGCUUUCAGGAGAUACUGUCUGGCUCGAGGCCGGGAGAGGUGAGAGGUACUUCAGGGGUAGGGGUGAAAUCUUGUAAUCCUUGAAGGACCACCAGUGGCGAAGGCGUCUCACCAGAACGGACCUGACGGCAAGGGACGAAAGCUAGGGGCACGAACCGGAUUAGAUACCCGGGUAGUCCUAGCCGUAAACGAUACUCGCUAGGUGUCGGCCACGGUGCGACCGUUGUCGGUGCCGUAGGGAAGCCGUGAAGCGAGCCACCUGGGAAGUACGGCCGCAAGGCUGAAACUUAAAGGAAUUGGCGGGGGAGCA